rnacentral:rRNA from 1 species
AGUGAACGCUGGCGGUAGGCCUAACACAUGCAAGUCGAACGGCAGCACAGUAAGAGCUUGCUCUUACGGGUGGCGAGUGGCGGACGGGUGAGGAAUACAUCGGAAUCUACUUUUUCGUGGGGGAUAACGUAGGGAAACUUACGCUAAUACCGCAUACGACCUACGGGUGAAAGCAGGGGAUCUUCGGACCUUGCGCGAUUGAAUGAGCCGAUGUCGGAUUAGCUAGUUGGCGGGGUAAAGGCCCACCAAGGCGACGAUCCGUAGCUGGUCUGAGAGGAUGAUCGGCCACACUGGAACUGAGACACGGUCCAGACUCCUACGGGAGGCAGCAAUGGGGAAUAUUGGACAAUGGGCGCAAGCCUGAUCCAGCCAACCGCGUGGGUGAAGAAGGCCUUCGGGUUGUAAAGCCCUUUUGUUGGGAAAGAAAAGCAGCAGGUUAAUACCCCGCUGUUCUGACGGUACCCAAAGAAUAAGCACCGGCUAACUUCGUG